rnacentral:rRNA from 1 species
UGGUGGAGUGAUUUGUCUGGUUAAGUCCGAUAACGAACGAGACCUUCAUUUAUUAAAUAGUGAUGGUAAUAAGGCUGGAUCGCCCGUCUCCAGCAAUGGGUGGCGAGCGAGAACGCCAUAAAAUUAUUGCCAAAGAAAACUUCUUAGAGAGACAAUUGGCUUUUUCAAGCCAAAGGAAGCUGAAGGCAAAAUCA